UUGCUUAGGACAAAGCUUGGUUGCGUUUA
rnacentral:piRNA from 1 species